UAUCAUCUGUUUCUUAAAUAUUUAUUGAAUUUGACUUUUAAGUGAAAAGGCUUAAAUAAAACAAAAAGACGAUAAGACCCUAUAAAUCUUUACAAUAAAUAUAUUUUAUAUUUUAGCUUAUAAGUGUAUAAGAAAUAAAAAUAUAGGUUUGUUGCGCUGGGGCGGCGUAGAUAUAUAAAUAAACUGUCUAUAAUUUAAAUACAAUAAUUAUUGCUUAAUACAAAUUGAUCCUUAAAUAGAUUAAAAGAUUAAGAUACUUUAGGGAUAACAGCGUUAUUUUUUUUGAGAGUUCUUAUCGAAGAAAAAGUUUGCGACCUCGAUGUUGAAUUAAAGUGUCUCUAUGGUGUAGCCGCUAUAAGAGAGAGUCUGUUCGACUUUUAAUGCUUUA
rnacentral:rRNA from 1 species